GCCAUCUACAAAAAGGGACCAUACUAUACAGAGUGUGGAGCAAUGAUAGAUGGUUUGUUGGUAACAAAACGUUUGGUGUGGUAUCGCAUUUAAUAGUAGUGUGGGGGGGGGGAGAUCAGCGCCAUAGGAAGCUUCUUUCGUUUGGGGGCGCUGAAAGCGAGGGCCGAAGGCCCGAGGAAAUUUUUAAAUUUAGAGUCUCUGAAAUGCCAUUUCCUGGACUUUGGGGAAGAUUUGACAGAUUUCUGAUUGUCAAAAAACAGCGUUUUUAGUAUGUGGAAAUUUAGAGUUCAGUAGUACUAAAUGGGCGAAAGUGUAUUUAAUUAACGAUAUUUUGGAUAAGUUGCAGGAAAGUAUGGGUAAUAUCUUCAUUCUUUGAAGUUUGUCAUGGAUUAAAUGAUAAAGGUCUGCAUGAUUUUGAAAAAUGAAUGAUUAUUAGCAAAUUAUUGGGGGGCUGCAGCCCCCCAGCCCUCCCCCCCCCCCCCCCCGCGGUUGCUACGGCCCUGGAGAGGUCUGGGGUUUUCUCUCCCAGAAAAUGUUUGUAUUUUUCUACCCCUAUGACUGCAAUUCCCUGCAUUUUCUAAAACAGAUUUUUGGAUAUACAGCAUUACAUUAUGCUGUAGAUAUAGACUGAACCUUCAGUUAAGUACUUGCAUAGUAUGUUUAUGUAGAUACCACAACUUGGCCAUCACUUAGGGAGCCAGCUUGAUAAACUUAGAGUUCCCGACUCCCACGAAACGCCACCAUGGUUGGCACAGAGCGGAAAAAUUUUGAAAAUUUUGCGUCUCUAAAUCGUCGGAAAUGGCAUUUUCAAAGUCUUCUAUACGUCUUUUGUUAGGCCCUUUCAUUAAUUCGUUCAUUAUGAUUUGUGAGUCUAUGAUAUCCACGAGUCAGGAUGGAUUAUUACGAGAAAUGUUAUCAAAAUAUCGAUUACAGAUAUUUGAUUAUAUGUAUAUAUGAUUUCAAAUACUUCUAGUUUCGAAAUCAAAUUGUUUUUUUUUUGGUGGGGGGGCCAAAAUUAUCCCCCCCCCCUUAUAAAACACUUGGUUGAGGGCCUGUUGUCCCCUGCGGUCACUAACUUGUCCAACAACUCAAAUCUAUAGGGUCUGGGAAAUGCAAUCCACUGCCUGGGAAAUGUUUAAAAUCUAAUAAGGUAUUUAUUAAACAUAAAAGACAGGACAUAAGAUUCACAAAGCAAAUUUCAGUUACUAGAAUAUCAAACCUCCCUUCUAAAUUUCAUGUUUUGCUUAUAUUUUAGAGAAAAGGGACUUUGAC